rnacentral:misc_RNA from 1 species
AUAUAUCAACCUCUUCAAUUGUUGAGUGUUGGAUGUGGGGGGCUUUUUUUUGCUGGCCUUUCUGAGGUCAGCUCCCCUGAAAUGCAUUAGCGGAACAAUAUGUGGACCGUUCAUUGGUGUGAUAACUAUCUACGCUAUUGACGUGAAGCAGUUCAGCUUCUAACAGUCCAUUGAUUUGGACAAUUUUUCAUUA